rnacentral:lncRNA from 1 species
UCGACUACAAAUUACUCAAUGUUCGACAAUUAUGUUCCAUUUAUAUUAAAUAAGUUGAAUAAUAGAUUUAGUAAUAGAGGUGUCAAAUGGGUCAGGUCAGCCUAUUACUGCUUUGGUUUGUGCUCAGGUCGGGCCAAGCUUGCUUAUUUAUGAAAAUAAUUAAGUGCCUGUUUGGCAUUACUUAUUUGGGGUGAUAAGUGAUUUUUUUUUUUUUUAAAAGGGAAGCCCAACCGGUUUGGUAAACUAUGAGAAAAUCACUUAUUGUUAGAAAUUGCUGUGAGAGAAAGAUAUAAAGGAAAGCAACUAAUGAGGUGCUUUCAUUUUCUAAUUUUGCAGGAAUCAGUUUCGAAGAGAAGCUGGAUUUAAUGAUUAUGCUACAAUCAUUUGCUGAUUAUGUGGGAAUCAAUACCAACAACAAAUUUAACAAAAAGUUUACCAAACACCAAAUUGCUUUCUCUCACAGCAAAGUUGACAGCGAUUAUUUUCACAGCACAACAAUGUCAAACUGUCCCUAAAUUCUAUUUGAGCCUGCAGCCCUAGCCCAUAUGAGCUUAGGCUUGGCUCUGGUUGGGACACUAAAUGGUCCAACAUGGGCCCAAGCCAAGCCUAACUUAUGUAUUUUUUUAUUUUUUAUUUUGUAGUUUUUUUAUAAUUUUUUUUCAAUAUUUUUUUUUUAUAAACAAGCAUGUAUAUACUAACAAGAUUUCUUAUUUGUUAGAAAAAGAAGCCAAUUCUAGAUUAUUGUUCAUGUUGAAAAAAAUUGAAACUUGAAGAACAAAAUCAUAAUUUUAUUUAUAAAGAAAGCAUUGAUUUUUAAAAUCUAUCAUUAGAAAAAAUAAUGGACUUAAAUUGAAGAUAUAAAUAUAAUAAUAUUGUACUUUUUUUCUCUUUAAAAAUAAUAAUAAUAUAAUAAAUGGGUUUCAGGCAGGGUCAACCGUUGGGCCGAGUUAACUCAUCCAGAGUAACCUAUACGUGUUGGGCCAUGCUGAGCUUCACUUUAAUCAGGCUCGUGGCGGCCAUCCAGAUUUAUACUCAAAGUUGUCUUCAAUGGUUGAGGGAGAGUCAGACGGCGAAGGGAGGGCUAGACAGCCACAUUAAAUUGAUUUGAACCGUGAGACUCAGCUGCAUCAACUUGUUAGAGCCAGCUAAUGACGAGGAUUAAGAAGAAAUCAAGGUCUAUCAAUUUCACCUGCAAAGAAGAAGCUGGUACAAAGUUGAAGCGUUUCUUUACCAAACUUGCAAAGUCAAAAGCCAAAGAUUCUAUAAAUAAAAGCAAAAGAUAUGUUCCAAAGGACAACGAAUCUCUCUCAAGAAUAAACAACUUAUUUGAACAACCUUCAAAUACUCUCGACUCAGAC